rnacentral:rRNA from 1 species
CAAUAGCGUAUAUUAAAGUUGUUGCAGUUAAAAAGCUCGUAGUUGGAUUUCUGUGAGAGUGCCGGUGUCGGCUGAUGCUUGUACGCAGGCGCUCUUACAUCCUUCUGUUAACUGUUCUUGGCAUUUUAUUGCUGGUUCAGGGCUCAGAUAUUUUACCUUGAGAAAAUUAGAGUGUUUCAGGCAGGCUUAUGCCGGAAUACAUUAGCAUGGAAUAAUGGAACAGGACCUGUGCGUCUCUCGGGGCGCCGGUCUCCGUUGUUGGUUUCGGGGACUAAUGUAAUGAUUAAUAGGGAUAGUUGGGGGCAUUAGUAUUUAAUAGUCAGAGGUGAAAUUCUCGGAUUUGUUAAAGACUAACUUAUGCGAAAGCAUUUGCCAAGGAUGUUUNCAUUA